AGCUCGAGUUUCUCUUCAUUGUCGCAUAAAUCUUUCGCCUUUUUACUAAAGAUUUCCGUGGAGGGAGCUUUUGCGAGUGACCUGUAUUUUUUUGGGGGCUCUGCUCACAGCAGAGCU
ensembl:snRNA U5 U5 spliceosomal RNA